rnacentral:rRNA from 1 species
GAAGGGGGCUAGCGUUGUUCGGAAUUACUGGGCGUAAAGCGCGUGUAGGCGGUUGUUCAAGUCGGGGUGUGAAAGCCUUGAGCUCAACUCAAGAAAUGCACUCGGUACUGGAUGACUAGAGGACCGGAGAGGAUAGUGGAAUUCCCAGUGUAGUGGUGAAAUACGUAGAGAUUGGGAAGAACACCAGUGGCGAAGGCGGCUAUCUGGACGGUUUCUGACGCUAAGACGCGAAAGCGUGGGGAGCAAACAGGAUUAGAUACCCUGGUAGUCCACGCCGUAAACGAUGGGUGCUAGACGUUGGCGGGCUUGCUCGUCAGUGUCGCAGCUAACGCGUUAAGCACCCCGCCUGGGGAGUACGGUCGCAAAGAUUG